CGAUGGCCUCCAGCAGCCGGUUGCGCUGGAAGCCGCGGAGCCCGCGCUGGUCCAGGGACGCGCUCCGGUGGCACUGCGGGCAGGUUCUUAUUCCAUUGCAAGAAGGAGAACAGAGAAAUAGAAGGAGAACAAGUGCAGAGAAGAUAAAAAUGCGCUUGGGCUAAAGCCAGCAGCUUGUGUGGUGGUGUGAGCGGAAGAGUCUCACUGCCUCGUUAAAAAUGCAGGGUGCUCAAUUAUCAGCAGAGGAUGCUCUCAGCAACCACUGUGGACAACACAGCUGCACCUGCUGGUCAUCUCUGAAUUUUAGGCUGGAUUCUAACCAGUGGCUGUACACACACCCCACACACCUCAGCAUUGCUCCUAUGCAUAAUAAAAACCCAACACAGUGUAA